rnacentral:tRNA from 1 species
GACUAUAUCGUUUAAGAAAGGACAUUAAAUUGCAAGUUUAAAGGUAAAAUUUUUUAUGGUCU